GAUGAACGCUGGCGGCGUGCCUAAUACAUGCAAGUCGAGCGAACAGACGAGGAGCUUGCUCCUCUGACGUUAGCGGCGGACGGGUGAGUAACACGUGGAUAACCUACCUAUAAGACUGGGAUAACUUCGGGAAACCGGAGCUAAUACCGGAUAAUAUAUUGAACCGCAUGGUUCAAUAGUGAAAGACGGUUUUGCUGUCACUUAUAGAUGGAUCCGCGCCGCAUUAGCUAGUUGGUAAGGUAACGGCUUACCAAGGCAACGAUGCGUAGCCGAACUGAGAGGGUGAUCGGCAACACUGGAAGUGAGACACGGUCCAGACUCCUACGGGAGGCAGCAGUAGGGAAUCUUCCGCAAAGGGCGAAAGCUUGACGGAGCAAAGCCGCGUGAGUGAUGAAGGUCUUCGGAUCGUAAAACUCUGUUAUUAGGGAAGAACAAAUGUGUAAGUAACUAUGCACGUCUUGAAGGUACCUAAUCAGAAAGACACGGCUAACUACGUG
rnacentral:rRNA from 1 species